AACGGAAUAGAGCAGUCUGGAAGCUCAUCGGGCUCAUGAUCCGAAGAACAGCGGUUCAAAUCCGUUUUCCGUUU
rnacentral:tRNA from 1 species